CUUGAUUAUAUGGUGAACUGAAUUAGGUAAAAAAAAUCCCAUAUUUCUAGUGAGAUGAUGCAACAAGGAAUUGUAUUUAUUCUCGACAUUGUAUUUAUAGUUGAUCUUCCAUGACAGUUGCUAGAACUUUCAAAAAACAGCUACUUAAAUUCUAAAAGACUUCCAUCAGAUUUAUUUCUUAUGGUAAAUGGACUAUAAGUAGUCAAUCAGCUUCCGUUCUUCUGGCCAUCAUCCUUGUCAUUUUCGAUCUCAAAAGCUGAAAUUGGGAACGAGCUGCCCAGACCACUGGCUAUUGCAAACUCAAUCUUGCCAGAAGAAGGAUCUUUGAUGUAGAUAGUAGAAAGGUAAAACCAAGUAAAAAACUCCUUACUCUUGACGCCAGUUACAUUUCUCAGUCGACCCUUCUCAAUAAAUGCUGUGACUUCAGUAUCAUAAUGGGCAGUCCUGUUAAUGAGGUGAAACUUGUGUGCUUUCUUGUUCUUCUGCUUGAGCCAAAAAAAUCCAGUGGAUUGGUUAUAGCCGAAUUCAGUGAUAUCUAAGGGUAAGAUGCCACGAGGGAGAGAAAAAUAUUCCAGCAGUUCGUGAAAUUUCUGCCUGCAGAGAUCUUCUCCAUGGUAAAUCUCUGCAUUCUCUCUCUGGGAUUUGAUUAACUGAGAUGACAUUGUAGGGUAUUUCUUUAUGAGGAUGGGAGUAUGCUGAUUGAAACCUUAGGCCUGACUCGGCCUUAUAUAUAAAUUCAGUGGCUAUAAAGCAUUAAAAGCAUAACAGUGAUUUCAUAUGCCUAGUUGGGUCCUCUGGAAAAACUCAUCUAUAUCUGAUUUAUUAUAAAUUAAAUACAUAUGUGCUAUAUCUGAUUUAUUAUAAAUUGAAUAUGUAUGUGUGGACCUUUUCAUUUAUUUUAUAUGUAAAUUUU
rnacentral:misc_RNA from 1 species